rnacentral:rRNA from 1 species
CAGUAGUCAUAUGCUUGUCUCAGAGAUUAAGCCAUGCAUGUCUAAGUGCACGCCUUCAUACGGUGAAACCGCGAAUGGCUCAUUAAAUCAGCUAUGGUUUAUUGGAUCAUACCCGUUAAAUGGAUAACUGUAAUAACUCUAGAGCUAAUACAUGCCUCGAAGCCCUGACCCGCGAGGGGAUGGGUGCACUUAUUAGAUCAGAAGCCAAUCAGGCGUUCGUCUGCUUUGCUCUCGCAGUAAGGUGGAUAGUGCCUGUUGCCAUUCUGGUGACUCUGGAUAAUUGUUACAGAUCGCAGUCGGCCUUGCGUCGGCGACGGGUCCUUCAAAUGUCUGCCCUAUCAACUUUCGAUGGUAGGUGACCUGCCUACCAUGGUGAUAACGGGUAACGGGGAAUCAGGGUUCGAUUCCGGAGAGGGAGCCUGAGAAACGGCUACCACUUCCAAGGGAGGCAGCAGGCGCGCAAAUUACCCACUCCCAGCACGGGGAGGUGGUGACGAAAAAUACCGAUGCGGGACUCUCAUUGAGGCUCCGUAAUCGGAAUGAGUGAACUCUAAAUCCUUUCACGAGGAUCAAUUGGAGGGCAAGUCUGGUGCCAGCAGCCGCGGUAACUCCAGCUCCAAUAGCGUAUAUUAAAGUUGCUGCAGUUAAAAAGCUCGUAGUUGGGUCUCGGUAUCACUGUCGCCUGCCAGUCCUCGGCCAAUUGUGACUGUGGGUGCAGGCGCGUGACCACCUCCUGUGUGUGUGUGGCCCCCCUGUGUCCCUGGCAUGGUUGUGCUCGAGUUGGCGUGGUGGUGGUGUCACCUUUCAGCCAUGUCUGUGGUGAAAUACCCACAGGUGUAGGCGAGUGUCAGGCGGUGCUCUGCGGCAGUAGGGUCCGUCGGCUCGUCUGCAUGCCUUUGGAUGCCCUUAAAAAGGUGUCUAGAGGCGGAUGGCACGUUUACUUUGAACAAAUUUGAGUGCUCAAACCAGGCCGCUGUUGCCUGAAAAGUUUUGCAUGGAAUAAUGGAAUAGGACUUCGGUUCUAUUUCGUUGGUUUUCGGAUCCGAAGUAAUGAUCAAAAGAGACAGGCGGGGACGUUUGUAUGGUUGCGCUAGAGGUGAAAUUCAUGGACCGUAACCAGACAAACUAAAGCGAAAGCAUUCGUCAAGCAUGUUUUCAUUGGCCAUGAGCGAAAGUCAGAGGCUCGAAGACGAUCAGAUACCGUCCUAGUUCUGACCAUAAACGAUGCCAACUGACGAUCCGUGGUGGUAGUAUUUAAACCAUCCCCACGGGCAGUCCCCGGGAAACCUUUAAGUCUUUGGGUUCCGGGGGAAGUAUGGUUGCAAAGCUGAAACUUAAAGGAAUUGACGGAAGGGCACCACCAGGAGUGGAGCCUGCGGCUUAAUUUGACUCAACACGGGAAAACUCACCCGGCCCGGACACUGUGAGGAUUGACAGAUUGAAAGCUCUUUCUUGAUUUGGUGGUUGGUGGUGCAUGGCCGUUCUUAGUUGGUGGAGCGAUUUGUCUGGUUAAUUCCGAUAACGAACGAGACUCUAGCCUGCUAAUUAGUACGCCUGUCCUCUGUUCCUGUGCAGGCGGCGUUCGUGCGCAACUGCUCGCAUAAGCUUCUUGCGGUUGCUGGGUGGUUGCGAGGUCUUCUGGCUACGCGACUGCUUUAGUGGCUGUAAAGGGGCGCGAGUGGUGUGCUGGGCGCUAGCUUCCGGGUACGGCGCAGGUGUGUCUACUUCUUAGAGGGACAAGCAUUACGAAUGUGCACGAAAUUGAGCAAUAACAGGUCUGUGAUGCCCUUAGAUGUCCGGGGCCGCACGCGCGCUACAAUGACGGUGCCAACGAGUCUGACCUUCUGGCCCGAAAGGGUUGGGCAAACUGGUUAAUCACCGUCAUGACAGGGAUCGGGGCUUGGAAUUGUUCCCCGUGAACGAGGAAUUCCUAGUAAGUGCAAGUCAUAAGCUUGCGCUGAUUACGUCCCUGCCCUUUGUACACACCGCCCGUCGCUACUACCGAUUGAAUGGUUUAGUAAGGUCCUUGGAUCGGCGCCGUUGUAGUGCUAGCCGCAAGGCUAGUGCUCGAGGGGUGCUGAGAAGACGACCAAACUUGAUCAUUUAGAGGAAGUAAAAGUCGUAACAAGGUUUCCGUAGGUGAA